rnacentral:rRNA from 1 species
GAUGAACGCUGGCGGCGUGCCUAAUACAUGCAAGUCGAGCGAACAGACGAGGAGCUUGCUCCUCUGAUGUUAGCGGCGGACGGGUGAGUAACACGUGGAUAACCUACCUAUAAGACUGGGAUAACUUCGGGAAACCGGAGCUAAUACCGGAUAACAUGUUGAACCGCAUGGUUCAACAGUGAAAGACGGUCUUGCUGUCACUUAUAGAUGGAUCCGCGCCGCAUUAGCUAGUUGGUAAGGUAACGGCUUACCAAGGCAACGAUGCGUAGCCGACCUGAGAGGGUGAUCGGCCACACGGGAAGUGAGACACGGUCCAGACUCCGACGGGAGGCAGCAGUAGGGAAUCUUCCGCAAUGGGCGAAAGCCUGACGGAGCAACGCCGCGUGAGUGAAGAAGGUCUUCGGAUCGGAAAACUCUGUUAUUAGGGAAGAACAAAUGUGUAAGUAACUGUGCACGUCUUGACGGUACCUAAUCAGAAAGCCACGGCUAACUACGUG